AGCUCCAAUAGCGUAUAUUAAAAUUGUUGCGGUUAAAACGCUCGUAGUUGGAUAUCUGUCUGGAAGUUUUCGGUGGGGCCCAAGUGUCUCAACUCGGAACUUUUCCGGACAUUUGUUCAGUCAAGGUGGAUGCCCUUCGUUGGGUGACCAUCAUUGCUGAAUUUUUACUUUGAGGAAAUGAGAGUGUUCCAAGCAGGCAUUCGCCGUGAAUAUGAUAGCAUGGAAUAAUAGCAUCGGUCCUGGUGCCAGAGCUGUUGGUUUUUGGUGCCGGGAAAGCAUAAUAAGGAUAGUUGGGGGUAUUCGUAUUUAACUGUCAGAGGUGAAAUUCUUGGAUUUUUUAAAGACGAACUACUGCGAAGGCAUCUACCCAGGAUGUUUUUG
rnacentral:rRNA from 1 species